rnacentral:rRNA from 1 species
UACAGAGGUCUCAAGCGUUGUUCGGAUUCAUUGGGCGUAAAGGGUGCGUAGGCGGCGCGGUAAGUCGGGUGUGAAAUCUCGGAGCUUAACUCCGAAACUGCAUUCGAUACUGCCGUGCUUGAGGACUGGAGAGGAGACUGGAAUUCCCGGUGUAGCGGUGAAAUGUGUAGAGAUCGGGAGGAACACCGGUGGCGAAGGCGGGUCUCUGGGCAUCUCCUGACGCUGAGGCGCGAAAGCGUGGGGAGCAAACGGG